rnacentral:tRNA from 1 species
AAUCGUGAGGGUUCAAGUCCCUCUAUCCCCAAU